rnacentral:misc_RNA from 1 species
AGCAGCCGCGGUAAUUCCAGCUCCAAUAGCGUAUAUUAAAGUUGUUGCAGUUAAAAAGCUCGUAGUUGAAUUUCGGGAUCAAGUCGUCGGUCGUGCUCAGGUACGUACUGGCGUCAUUGAUUUCUCCCUUCUGACGAACCAUGAUGUCAUUAACUUGGUGUCAUGGGAAAUCAGGACUGUUACUUUGAAAAAUUAGAGUGUUUAAAGCAGGCUCACGCUUGAAUACAUUAGCAUGGAAUAAUGAAAUAGGACGUUCGAUCCUAUUUUGUUGGUUUUAGGAUCAACGUAAUGAUUAAUAGGGAUAGUUGGGGGCAUUAGUAUUCAAUUGUCAGAGGUGAAAUUCUUGGAUUUAUUGAAGACUAACUUCUGCGAAAGCAUUUGCCAAGGAUGUUUUCAUUAAUCAAGAACGAAAGUUAGGGGAUCGAAGACGAUCAGAUACCGUCGUAGUCUUAACCAUAAACUAUGCCAACUAGGAAUCGGACGA